rnacentral:rRNA from 1 species
UUUAAAGUCUAACCUGCCCAAUGAGGAGUUAAAUGGCCGCGGUAAUUUGACCGUGCAAAGGUAGCAUAAUCAUUAGUUUUUUAAUUGAAAGCUGGAAUGAACGGUUGGACGAGAAAAUAACUGUCUCAAUUUAAUUUUAUGUAGAAUUUUAUAUAUAAGUAAAAAAGCUUAUAUAAUUUUAAAAGACGAGAAGACCCUAUAGAGUUUUAUAUUUUAUUAUAUUAAUUAAGGUUAGAAUGAGUAUAUUUUUAAUAUUAUAAAAUAUUUUGCUGGGGCAGCAGAAAAAUUAGUUUAACUUUUUUUAUAUAAAUACAUUGAUUUAUGGUUAGAUGAUCCAUUUAUUAUGAUUAUAAGAUUAAAUUACCUUAGGGAUAACAGCGUAAUUUUUUUCUAGAGUUCUUAUCGAAAAAAGAGUUUGCGACCUCGAUGUUGGAUUAAAAUUAACUUUUGGUGUAGGAGCUAAAAGGUUAGGUCUGUUCGACCUUUAAAAUUUUACAUGAUCUGAGUUUAAACCGGCGUGAGCCAGGUUGGUUUCUAUCUUUAAAUUAAUUAAAUAUCUUAGUACGAAAGGAUCAGAUAUUUUUAAAAUUUAGUAUAAUUUGAAUAUGAAUA